ACAAUGAAGAGUUUGAUCCUGGCUCAGGAUGAACGCUAGCUACAGGCUUAACACAUGCAAGUCGAGGGGCAUCAGGAAGAAAGCUUGCUUUCUUUGCUGGCGACCGGCGCACGGGUGAGUAACACGUAUCCAACCUGCCCUUUACUCGGGGAUAGCCUUUCGAAAGAAAGAUUAAUACCCGAUGGCAUAAUGAUUCCGCAUGGUUUCAUUAUUAAAGGAUUCCGGUAAAGGAUGGGGAUGCGUUCCAUUAGGUUGUUGGUGAGGUAACGGCUCACCAAGCCUUCGAUGGAUAGGGGUUCUGAGAGGAAGGUCCCCCACAUUGGAACUGAGACACGGUCCAAACUCCUACGGGAGGCAGCAGUGAGGAAUAUUGGUCAAUGGGCGCUAGCCUGAACCAGCCAAGUAGCGUGAAGGAUGAAGGCUCUAUGGGUCGUAAACUUCUUUUAUAUAAGAAUAAAGUGCAGUAUGUAUACUGUUUUGUAUGUAUUAUAUGAAUAAGGAUCGGCUAACUCCGUGCCAGCAGCCGCGGUAAUACGGAGGAUCCGAGCGUUAUCCGGAUUUAUUGGGUUUAAAGGGAGCGUAGGUGGACUGGUAAGUCAGUUGUGAAAGUUUGCGGCUCAACCGUAAAAUUGCAGUUGAUACUGUCAGUCUUGAGUACAGUAGAGGUGGGCGGAAUUCGUGGUGUAGCGGUGAAAUGCUUAGAUAUCACGAAGAACUCCGAUUGCGAAGGCAGCUCACUGGACUGCAACUGACACUGAUGCUCGAAAGUGUGGGUAUCAAACAGGAUUAGAUACCCUGGUAGUCCACACAGUAAACGAUGAAUACUCGCUGUUUGCGAUAUACAGUAAGCGGCCAAGCGAAAGCAUUAAGUAUUCCACCUGGGGAGUACGCCGGCAACGGUGAAACUCAAAGGAAUUGACGGGGGCCCGCACAAGCGGAGGAACAUGUGGUUUAAUUCGAUGAUACGCGAGGAACCUUACCCGGGCUUAAAUUGCAGUGGAAUGAUGUGGAAACAUGUCAGUGAGCAAUCACCGCUGUGAAGGUGCUGCAUGGUUGUCGUCAGCUCGUGCCGUGAGGUGUCGGCUUAAGUGCCAUAACGAGCGCAACCCUUAUCUUCAGUUACUAACAGGUUAUGCUGAGGACUCUGGAGAGACUGCCGUCGUAAGAUGUGAGGAAGGUGGGGAUGACGUCAAAUCAGCACGGCCCUUACGUCCGGGGCUACACACGUGUUACAAUGGGGGGUACAGAAGGCAGCUAGCGGGUGACCGUAUGCUAAUCCCAAAAGCCUCUCUCAGUUCGGAUCGAAGUCUGCAACCCGACUUCGUGAAGCUGGAUUCGCUAGUAAUCGCGCAUCAGCCACGGCGCGGUGAAUACGUUCCCGGGCCUUGUACACACCGCCCGUCAAGCCAUGGGAGCCGGGGGUACCUGAAGUACGUAACCGCAAGGAUCGUCCUAGGGUAAAACUGGUGACUGGGGCUAAGUCGUAACAAGGUAGCCGUACCGGAAGGUGCGGCUGGAACACCUCCUUU
rnacentral:rRNA from 1 species